GCCGCCAAAUCAAAAUUCCUCUUUCACCUUUCGGUGUAAAAAAAAACAUAAAAAAAUCCCAAAUAUUAAAAAUAUAAAAAGAAAAAAAGAAAAAGCGAAGGAAGUCAUUUCUUUACUAAUUAACGGCCACACCAAAUCUACCAGAUCUAAUCUAACCGUAGAGAGAGACAAAGACAGAGAAGAUACACAGAGAUUUUGAGCUUGCGGCUAUGGAGGAGAAGCUUAUACAGAGGUUGGAAUCGGCUGUGGCGCGCCUAGAGUCGCUGUCGCUGUCGGGCGGUGCGGCGUCCGCGGCGGCGAGUGGCGAAGACGGGCCGCUGAACUCUGAACCUUGAAUUAAAACCCCAACCCAGAAGCAAAAGAGAGAGAGAAAUGAUUAACCCCCCCAACACAAACCCAUAGCUACAGUUCUGCCAAUACAUAAACAAAUAGCUAUAGGAAGUGACCAACUUCUCUUAGCAUAUCAAUACACCUGACCAAGAAGCUAGCAAAUCCGAAGUAAACAAGAAAGUGGAGGGCUGCGGGAGAGAGAAAUUCUUUUGAUGGUUUUCCGUUCUUGGGACUUUUAUUUGUUCAAUGAUAAGGCUUUUGCAAUUUGUUCAAUGGCAGACUAUUAAUUUGGGAAGAAUGUCAUUAUGAACCAUCAUUUCAGCCUCCUUCAAAUAUUGAACCAAUUUCUCUUCACAAAUCCAGAAGCAAAAGAAAAGAUGCCUCUGCUUCUCUGAUCGGAUCUGGGGUGGAGGAUGGGGGCUGGGGUUUCGGGUUCAUGGGUGCUGGGCUUGCGAGCUAGGGUAGAGGGUUCUGGGUUCGUGGGUGCUGGGGAAGAAGAAAUCAUCGGGGGAAGUGGGUUCGUGGGUGCUGGGGUUGGGGGAAGAAGAAAUCAUCGGAGAGAGAGAGAGAGAAAUAUUAUGAAUUUCCCAAUUUGAUCCAAUUCUGUGCAUCAACAUUUGAUUGUUAUAUCUUUUUCAGCAUCGUAGGACUUACUGCACCAAGAGAAUUGUCACUACGAAGUUGGGCAGUUGAGGAAUCUGCGAUUGUAGAUGAAGGUUAUAGACCAAGGAGAGGAUGGCCAACAAUAGUAGAGAGCAUUUUUUAUCGAGGUCGGUCAUUUCUUUCAAAGUGGAAGAGGGCAUUUUUGGCAUCAUGUGUAUUUCGGGUCUUAAUAGAUCCUUUAUUCUUUUUUAUUCCUAUCGUCAAGGAUACGAAGUGCAUCGGGUUGGACAACAGUUUGAAGAGAGCGGUUAUUUCACUACGAUCGACAAUUGAUCUAUUUUAUGUAGUGAACAUUGUUAUU